UUUUUUUUUUUUUUUUCUUCAAAAGACGUUCCCAGUGUCUGUGAAAUGCUCCAUCCUGGGAAGCAGCUGCUUCUCUGGCACCUGGAGGAAUUUCUUACUGUCUGCCUGCUGGUUGUAAAAGCAAGGAGAGGACUGAGAGUUGGGAAAAGCAAAAUGUUUUGCCCCAAGGAAGAGACUGACUUCUAAGCUGCAAACUGGUUUUUGCUGAUCUGCUGCCACUGCAGUUGUUUUGCCACCAGGAGUGAAGACCCUGGUUUCAGCUGGGAAUCCUGCAGGGCAUCAGAUGGACGGAGGUGUGGAUGAAGUGAACAAAGUGGGGAAAGGACUUGUGUGCUCAGUGGCGGGAGCAAAGGCAAUGGACACAAGGUGAAACACAAGAGGGUCCCUCUGAACAUCAAGGAACACUUUGUCACUGUCGGGGUGGCCGAGCACUGGCACAGGUUGCCCGGAAACGUUGUGGAGUCCCAUGUUUGGCUGGACCAGGUGUUCUCCAGGUGGCCACCCCUAGGCCAUGCUAACUUUACCUGGUCGUGAGUAAAGUCUGAAGGAAAGGGGGUGUCAUAUCCAAACCACUGUUCAUCCAGAUUUCCUGUAUGAUCUGCUCCCUGCGCUCAAUCCUUUCGGCCAGUUCUGCUGCCUCUGCUGAGUUAUAACCUGAGUAAGAAGUCUGAUGCCUGACAUCUGCCCCUGCCGAACUACACUGGUCAUUAAACUGGCAGCAAGCACCCUGAAGCUGCAAACACAAUGGAGACCUAAGUGCACUCGACUGGCUUUUGGGAAGUUCUGCUCUAUUCAAUACAGGUGCAAGGUGCUCCCCAUCACUCCCUGUCCCCCGCAGCCCAACUUCCCUGCUUUCCCUACUCCAGACGCCCUCGGCUCUCGUGCCAGACCUUGCCAAGUCUGCCGCUCCAGCCCCGCUCCUGCCCUUACACCUCGGCUCACGGGUCUCUGAGGGAACCCAGCUGCGACCUACGCCUGGCAGGAUCUCUGGAUGAGGGAUUUCAGUGGGCAAACAGCACUGACUCUUCCAUGUUGCAGAAGGACCACCUCGGUUUCCUCGCACUGACGGUGCUUGACACCACCUUAGCGCAGCCCCGGGGCUUGACGACUCUAGUUCAGCGUGCCUUGAGUUUGAAGGGUGUAGGCUUGGCUUAAAGCUUUCACUGCGAAGUGAGGAAACACCUUGAAGUUACUUCGAGAGACUUCAAGUUGCUCCCUGAAAUCUUUUGUGAUACAGAAAAGUGAAUCAGUGAGAAGUUCAAACAAAUUGUCAUUACUACCUGCUAAACUACCACCCAAUGUAAUUUGGUGCUUCUUUUAAGGUAUGAGGGACUCAAGGGAAUAAAUCAGGACAGCUCCCAGUUCCUGUAAGAGCUGUCCUCAGGAAACAGAGCUUAGAACCAACAGUGGAAAUGGGGCACGAAAGAAUCUUUUUCCCUGGGGCUGUGGAUAAACAUGAAUAUCCAGCUGUUUACAUCCUGCCAUGCAUGAUCACACUGAUCUUUCUCCUGAAAAAAAGCCCACGAGUGAGUCGGUGAAAGAUGAUGGAACCAAAUUAAUUGUGUUAAAUCUGUUCCGCUCCUCCUGUUCCAACUGAAGUUGGAACGCAUCCAGAUUUGAAUUUCCAAAGUUUGGCACCUCUUUUCAGAGGUUACACUGAACUUUGACCAACUUGGUCUUCACGUUUGAAUCUGAAUCCACUUUUGUUCCUCUUCACACACAGAAAAACAACUGGGUAACACAUAUAUUAGCCUAUGCUUCCUUAGUCUUGGGCAGAUUAAGAGCAAAACAGGUUUCACAUGAACCUGUCCGAGGUCAGGGACAUUCCAUCAAGUGUUACUGAACUCAGAUAAAUGGGAUCAAAGGUGCCGAAAUAACAGUAUAAAAUCACUCUGAAACAUCUGCAACUGCAAACACAGAUGGGGAGAGAGAACAGUAGCUCUGCAGGUGAAGCCCUUGCUUCUGGCUGUUUCAGAUAAGGACAGUGUUUGCCUCUGAACUCAGCCAGUUACCCUCUGCCUUCCAACUGGGGAACUGGAAGGAGACUUGUGGGAGUCUCCCCCUAUUCCCCUCCUUUUUCCCCUUGAUCUUGCCUUACCUGAUCAUUCAAUCUGACACUUCCUGCAAUUGCUGUCUCAGGUCAGUCUCACCAAAGGCAGAAAUGAAUGCUGGGGAUCAAGAUUUUUACAAAGAAGCAUUCAGAGGCCAUACUUGGAUCCUCUAGAAACAUGUUCAGAUAAUUAAA